rnacentral:rRNA from 1 species
UACGUAGGGGGCGAGCGUUGUCCGGAUUUAUUGGGCGUAAAGAGCGUGUAGGCGGCCAGGUAGGUCUGCUGUGAAAACUCGAGGCUCAACCUCGAGAUGUCGAUGGAAACCGUCUGGCUAGAGUCCGGAAGAGGAGUGUGGAAUUCCUGGUGUAGCGGUGAAAUGCGCAGAUAUCAGGAAGAACACCUAUGGCGAAGGCAGCACUCUGGGACGGUACUGACGCUGAGACGCGAAAGCGUGGGGAGCGAACAGG